GAGUAUCGUAAGAUCAGCAGUCUGCAGUCGACGUCGUUGGCGUCGUUGCUCUCGCGCGAUUGUGAAUUUCGAUGAGUAAGUGGGCACAAUCGUGUGUUAGUCUUUCCGUUGCCCCCGCAGCAGUCUGCAAGACAACCGCCGACGCGACGAUUUUUCGCUUGUGCUUCGAUGGUAUACUGGACUUGAUUCCAGAAGUUAUAGAAGAUGAUGAUGAUGAGCAAGAAAUCAAUCCACAUCGUGGCGAAGAUUAUUUACAAAGGAUUCAAGAGAGACACAGACUCGUCCACCUAUAUUUUAAUUAUUCAAAAAUUGAAUUUUGUAUUCAUGCAUUUAUGCAUGCACAUGCAUGCACUACCUAUAAAAGAAACGCUACUCGCUUCAUUUUGAAGGACCUUUAUUCGUUGUCAGAUUGACAGUGUUUCUUGAUCGAUGAUGAUAAUGUUAAUAAUUAAUGAUAAUAAUUAAAUGUAUUAUUAGAUAUACCUAAUUAUAUUUAAAUAAAUAAAGUCGCUAGAAUUCUAUAGAGUGA